UGGAAUUAACCUCCUUAAGAGAAGUCAAAAGAUAAGAGCUGCUUAUCUGAGUAUGACAUUUGGCAUCUCUAGAUAGAAAUAUAGAUAGUAGUAGUAUAAAUCAAAGUACGAUCCCCAUGAAGCAAAGGAGUUGGAUUCUUUUGUUUUUCCCUACUAAUGUUUGAGAACAUUGCUUUGACAAAUGCUUCCACCACUAGGUUAAAAGUCAAGGAAACUCCAUUUCCUACCCCUGUGUUUUCAUGUUUUAUGUUCAGAAGAAUAAAAUAAUCAAACUUUUCUGAAUCAGGGAUUCAAUCUCUAAAGCGUUAAAUCUCUGCAACAACUGCAAAAUGUUCCACAACAACAACAAAGCUACAGAACAAGCAGGAUUCCAGCAUCUGCAGAGGAUUUCACAUCAAAUUUAAAAAUUACACCUUGAACAAUAGUACAAAGUCUUCAGAUUUCCUUAAAACACCACGCUAGACACAGACUCAAAGAGCUUUCUAUUUGUUUGCUCUGCAAUUCACUCCUCAUGCUCUGACCACCUGAUAUUCUUGCCAAAGGCAACCACGCCGAGGCCUUUUUUAGGCACACCUCUCAGUGGCUCCUGAGGAGCGUCUGCCACAUGAGUGAUUCAUGAGGAAUUUGUAUCAGAGUUCUGUACACAGGGGCCUAUUGCCAGGGCUCUGGGAAGAAGUGAGCAGGCUCUGAGCAGACUGCUGAGGCCAAAACACACACACACACACACACACAGGUUAUGCCAGGCUGCAGCUGCAUAUCCAGACCUGGCUCAGCCUCGGAGCAGACUAGCAACACACCUGGGCAUCUCUGUCACCGCCUGCCUCACAACCAUUCCUAUGGCUCUUUCUCUCAGAUGCAUGCUAUGUGCUGGCAGCACUUCAGACAGAGAAAGAUUUGACAAACAGCUCAUGGGGUCAGAAAGGCAGGCCAGAUCUUCAGGCUUCUUAGCUCUAGGAACUGCAACUCAAGAUAUGGGAGUAAAUUAGUUACAGUGAGUGCAUACUGCCUGUGAACAGCUGAUCCAGAUAAACAGAACCAAAGUCCUGCUUCAGUUUUGGAAUAAAAAUUAUCCAGCUACCAUUAUUGCUCCAGAAUAUUUAGUACUGAUACUUCUAGUAACAAAGAGUAAUAAAACUGUCCAGAGAAAGACCACACCUCACGCUCUGAAAUAAAAUUAUAUAUUAAUGAAUGAACUGUCAAAAAAGCAUUUAUGUAAAAGGAUGUUCUAUUUACAAAGGUCAACUUGCUCUUCAGGACAAGUAAAACCACUACUGGAAAAAAUAUACACAUAGAAAUGCCUCAUCUUUCAACAGACAGUUACAAAUAAUCUGCUUUGUUUAAGCUACUGGAAACUUUAAGACGUUUGAAAUUAAAAGCGUGUUCUGCAUGCAGUUAGGAUAGAACUGGACCUCAGUGUGUCAAUUCAUGUCAUUGCCAAUGACGCACUCUUAGGCUCUUCUAAAACACCACAGCCUGGCUGUUACCUUAGCAUCUCAAAAGAAGGACAUGGAUCUUCAUUAACAAGUUGUCGGUUGAUCUUCAUUUUGCCAUUAAAAAAGGACAUCCUGAUUGUCUCAGCAGGAGAGUCUGGUCUUGUCAAACUCGACAUCCUUUUCCCUGAGUUUUCUUUAGCUUUUUUGCUAGGCAUGAUCAUCACCAGCUUGGUGUAUUUACAAGUCCUUGGUCACACUCUUCCCAUUAUAAGGCAGAGUUCAGAAAUUCAAGCAGCUCUGCACGGUUCCGGUCUCUCUGUGGAGCAGAAAAGAAGAGGCAAUAGUUCUACAGACCUAUGCUUGGCGGACCAAGGCUGUUUUUUCUGUGGGGCCUUGGCACGUGGGCACACUGAACAACAAACGUUACCAUGUUUGGUGAGAAGUCCUCUGGCUACACAACGGUAAGGCUGCUGGGAGGGCCCCAGGCAACUGGGCAUUACUGGCUACCAGACAGCUGAGAGCACCCGGGAGAAGUGCAAGCAGCGAGUACCCAGAAGAGACACUAGAAGAGACAAGCUGUCUCUGCUGCUAUUUCAUGGUGUAUUUUCUAAGUGGCUCCCUGUGGAGGCUGCACUGGGUUGUCAGCAUGUAGCUCACACAGCCUAGUCAGGAGGGAAUUCACAAGCAGAACAGAUGCAGUUUUCUGGUGUCUGAAGCAACAGCAGCUGUACACACAGGAAGUCUUGUGCUCUGCCAAGUAUUGUUUUUUCUACGCAUAAGCAGCAGCUUGUAGCAAAACAGAAGGGAACCAUGGAUUUAGGCUUUUUCUUUACAUAAGGGACAGCCCAAACAGUCAAAACAGUUGCUUUUCAUCUUUGCAGAAACACAGUUUAUGAAACAAUCACCAAAUAUUAAAAUACUGUGAAUAAGAGAUAUUGUUCAGUUCAGCGUGUUCAUAACUGAGGUCACCAAUCCAAAAAACAAACAUCAAAUAUUUGACAUCAAAUGUUGAAGCAAGCCUGUUACUGGGAUAAGGACAGCAAGGAACCUUAGUGCCACAUAAAGAAGAUAAUGUAUUUUUGAUGAAAUUGAAUUUGGAAUGCUUAGGUUUAUUUUGGUAACUAUAGAACAAACUGCCAUGGCUAAGUGAGAAUCCACCAAUCUGGAUACUUCAGCAAAAUACCACCUUUUAACAAACAUAGAAGCCCUCUGCAGAUUUCUAUGAGGUGUGGACACUGCUGAAAAGAGAGAACGCUCUCUAUCCUUGAUAUCCAGCUCCUUCAGUAUCUCAGCAAAAACAUUUUACUACUUUGGUGGAACGCAUUAACAUAUGAUCCUAUUAUCUUUUUUCCUUCUUCUCAAUAUAAUGCCUACUCUCAUGCUUGUUGGAAAACAGAGUAAGGCAUCAAUUACCACAUUUGACCACAAGUGAAUGGAAAAAGAUGAGGACAAUUAAAAAGAGUGCAAACUCAACAAACAGGAAAAGCCACAAACCAGCUCAACCUUACGGGCUGAAAUUCUGAGAACCUGCAUCAGCACCCUUUGGUUUAUCUAUUCAUGCCUGAAUAUUCCAAGAUCGCCCAUUUAACAAAACCUGCCCAAAGAAUGAAUUUAUAUGUCUCAGAUGGCAUCAUAGCCACAUUAAAAGCUUCAUUCAAUUUAUAUAACCCGUAAGAUCUACUCUUCUACUGAAUACCACUAUGAAAAAAAAAAAAAAGAUGGUAUUUUCCAUUAAGGACACACAGACUGUUUUAUUCUUACCUCUUUAUCCUUCUUAGUCUUCUUUAUUUUCAUCUUAAUUUUCUUUCCAGUUAUCAUGCUGUAGUUUUCA
ensembl:lncRNA